rnacentral:rRNA from 1 species
UACGGAGGGUGCAAGCGUUAAUCGGAAUUACUAGGCGUAAAGCGUGCGUAGGCGGUUCGUUAAGUCUGUUGUGAAAGCCCCGGGCUCAACCUGGGAAUGGCAAUGGAUACUGGCGAGCUAGAGUGUGUCAGAGGAUGGUGGAAUUCCCGGUGUAGCGGUGAAAUGCGUAGAGAUCGGGAGGAACAUCAGUGGCGAAGGCGACUACCUGGCCUGUUCUUGACGCUGAGGCGCGAAAAGCUAGGG